CUCGGUGUAGCUUAAUUUUGGUAGAGCACACCCCGAUGAGGGUGCGAAUGCUGGUUCAAAUCCAGUCAUCGAGU
rnacentral:tRNA from 1 species